rnacentral:rRNA from 1 species
GACGUAGGUGGCGAACGUUAUCCGGAAUUACUGGGCGUAAAGCGCACGUAGGCGGCUUUGUAAGUUAGAGGUGAAAGCCCAGGGCUUAACCCUGGAAUUGCCUUUAAGACUGCAUCGCUAGAAUCGUGGAGAGGUGAGUGGAAUUCCGAGUGUAGAGGUGAAAUUCGUAGAUAUUCGGAAGAACACCAGUGGCGAAGGCGACUCACUGGACACGUAUUGACGCUGAGGUGGCGAAAGCGUGGGGAGCCAAACAGG